rnacentral:rRNA from 1 species
CGGAGGGUGCGAGCGUUGUCCGGAAUCAUUGGGCGUAAAGGGCGCGUAGGUGGCCUGCUAAGCGUGCGGUGAAAGCUCGGGGCUCAACCCCGAGUCGGCCGUGCGAACUGGUGGGCUUGAGCACUGUAGAGGCAGGCGGAAUUCCGGGUGUAGCGUUGGAAUGCGUAGAGAUCCGGAAGAACACCGGUGGCGAAGGCGGCCUGCUGGGCAGUAGCUGACACUGAGGCGCGACAGCGUGGGGAGCAAACAGGAUUAGAUACCCUGGUAGUCCACGCCGUAAACGAUGGGCACUAGGCGCUUGGGGGAGCGACCCCCCGAGGGCCGGCGCUAACGCAUUAAGUGCCCCGCCUGGGGAGUACGGCCGCAAGGCUG